GGACAACAAAUGCAAAUGAGGAAUCUUCACGAUCACAUGCCAUUCUUCGUUCAUAAAUCUUGCAGGAAAUGAAAGAGGUGCAGAUACAACUGAUAAUGAUAAGAAAACAAGGCUUGGCCUGUGCGUACUCCAAGGCCUGUUGCUUUCAAGCUUGUUGCUGAUACCCCUCUUCUUACUGGACAGCAAACAAUCUUUCUUUUCUUUCUAGACAUGAUUAAAGGCAUGUUUUUGGCUGUAGUUAUUGGACCACCUGUUGUGGUUGCCAUCAUUUUAAUAGUACAGGAGAGCAUUCUAAACAUUCUGGAAACUUUAAAAGAAGAGGGAAAUAGGGUCUUGUUCAAUGCUUUAGCUGUGUUUGCUCUAAAGGGAGAUCAACUUAUCACAAGUAAGUUACUGUUUCACCCUUUUAUUUAAUAUUUUUGUGAUUGAAUGAAAGUCUUAAUGAAAGUAAUUGACAACCUUUCUCUGUAAAUGAUGUUGUGAUUGUGGGAGAGGUGUUGUGUUUUUCUCUGUUGCUAGGUAACCUUCUCAACAACAACAUUCUACUUAAGCAGGUGAGUAAUCAAGAUUAAGGGAGACUUGUAAUCAUGUUUGACAUUCCUUUCCAGUAAGAAAAAGAGUUGUAUGAUUAUUUGUUAGUUUUAUAGGAAUGUAUAACCCAUGUUAGCAAUGUUUUAUUUUUGUUUAACAUUUGAAUGAUUCUUUGUAUGACAUUACAAUUUGUGUAAUUUAUUUUAUUUUUUGA